rnacentral:rRNA from 1 species
CUUGGUCAUUUAGAGGAAGUAAAAGUCGUAACAAGGUUUCCGUAGGUGAACCUGCGGAAGGAUCAUUACGUUCAGUAGCCUAGCUACUGUCAGUGGGGCUCGUUAGUCUGCAUAGCUUAAACGCUGAUGAGCAGCAGGCCCCCUGUCUUCACCCUUGUUUUUUGCGUACCCAUGUUUCCUCGGUGGGCUUGCCCGCCGGCUGGACAAAACUAUAACCUAUUUAAUUUUCAAUCAGCGUCUGAAAUAAUUUUAAUAAUUACAACUUUCAACAACGGAUCUCUUGGUUCUGGCAUCGAUGAAGAACGCAGCGAAAUGCGAUAAGUAGUGUGAAUUGCAGAAUUCAGUGAAUCAUCGAAUCUUUGAACGCACAUUGCGCCCCUUGGUAUUCCAUGGGGCAUGCCUGUUCGAGCGUCAUUUGUACCCUCAAGCUUUGCUUGGUGUUGGGUGUUUGUCUCUUCCCUUGCGGGGAGACUCGCCUUAAAGUAAUUGGCAGCCAGUGUUUUGGUAGUAAGCGCAGCACAUUUUGCGUCUUGGUCCCUAAAAUAAUGGCAACCAUAAGCUCUUUUUCACGUUUGACCUCGGAUCAGGUAGGGAUACCCGCUGAACUUAAGCAUAUCAAUAAGCGGAGGA